CCUACGGGAGGCUGCAGUGGGGAAUAUUGCACAAUGGGGGAAACCCUGAUGCAGCGACGCCGCGUGAGUGAAGAAGUAUUUCGGUAUGUAAAGCUCUAUCAGCAGGGAAGAAAAUGACGGUAUCUGACUAAGAAGCCCCGGCUAACUACGUGCCAGCAGCCGCGGUAAUACGUAGGGGGCAAGCGUUAUCCGGAUUUACUGGGUGUAAAGGGAGCGUAGACGGCAGCGCAAGUCUGAAGUGAAAUCCCAUGGCUUAACCAUGGAACUGCUUUGGAAACUGUGCGGCUGGAGUGCGGGAGAGGUAGGCGGAAUUCCUGGUGUAGCGGUGAAAUGCGUAGAGAUUAAGAGGAACACCAGUGGCGAAGGCGGCUUACUGGACUGUAACUGACGUUGAGGCUCGAAAGCGUGGGGAGCAAACAGGAUUAGAUACCCGGGUAGUC
rnacentral:rRNA from 1 species